UGCGUCUCAGUUUGCCUCAGACUUAAGUGGCUGGUGGAAGUGAGAGAUCUCUAAAGAUUCACCCAAUCCCAUUGUUCUAAGGUAAUAAAUCCUAUAAUUGCUGUAUCCUCAGAACCCAGCACGGGGCACUGCAUACGGUAGAUCUGCUUAACCAUGUACCAAAUGCAUCCGCCUCUUCCCCAACAUCCAUUACUACUGGAACCCACCAAGAACUGAAUUCCAUGGUACUUCUCAGGAUUCUUGAGGUCUGGACUAAGCCCUGGAUUGGGAAAGACGUGUUUAUGAUGCAGACCAGUUGGGGAGAUUUUUCUUGAAGGAGCAGCAGCUUGGGAAUAGCUGACCUGGUGAGAGCAUUCCUCUUCAUCUUGGCUCUGUCUGCUGUAGUUGGGGAACUGAUGCCCCAGUGAUUCUGCUGCCUCUGCCAGAGUCAGAAAACUGUGGAUGUGGGAAGCUGCCCGUGGAGUCAGGAAGUCAUCCCUACUGAUGGAGCCUCUGCAGCCACCUUGGUCCUGGUCCACACCAGCAAUGUUGAUGCUGCCCUGCAGCCUGCCUAUCCCCUGGCUUAAUUCCGGCUCCAUGCAUGUGACGAGCAGAAAAAAGAAAGUCGCAUCUGGACCUCCGGCGGCAAGGGAGUCUGAGAAAGAUAGAUCUGUGCAUGGUCAUCUUAACCCUCCUGUAUCCUUAAAGCCCAGCACCAGGUCAAGUAUGCAGUGGGCACUCAGUAGUUGCAUGUUAAGUGAAUCGAUGAUUCUAGAAAAGAAAAUUUUGUUUACUGGCUCUUCACCUUUAGCAGGAAGUAAAUUCUCAACGGGGCUUUGGCUCGGAAAGAAUAUGGACCUGAAUGCUUUUCUCUUCCCCUCUCCUGUCCCUCCCUCCUCACUUCUCCUUUCUCCUCUUCUCCUCUCCUCUUCUCUCCCUUCCUCUGUCCCUUUUUGUCCCUUUCCUCCUCCCUCCCUCCUUUCCCUCUCCCUCUGUGUCAGCUUCCACCACCAGGAAACCAGCUUCUCCUGAGAACACACAGGGGGACCCUUCAAACUCAGUGUACAACACAGCCUCUUGAAUUCUGUGCAUUGCCUCUUUUAAUUAAACCCCUCCUUUCAGGAAGUCUCUCAAGGCUAUAAGCUUAUCAGAUCCUGAUGAGCACGUCAUCAAAGCUCCAAUCUGGUAUUAAUGGGAAAUGGCCUUUCCCUUCAGGGAGGGCCAAGCUUCUGUCCUUGGGAACCACUGCAUUCUCCUUGCUGGGAGGACACGUGGAUUUCCCCUCAGUGCUCUCUAGGGUGCUGCAAGCUGGCAAAGUUCACCUGCCCUUUUCAAAAUAUGAAAUACAUGCCUAAUUUCCAACAUCAUUGUGUUCCAUUUUCCCUGAUAACACCUUAACAGGGGCUUUAAUAACUGCAUUCUGUGGAAAGAGACACUGGCGCUGUGCUGUUGGCUCUAGGUUGUGAGCUGGGGCCCUGGCUGUGAGCCCUUGGAGGAAUCCCUUUACCUCUCUAUUCCAGGUUAUUCAUGUUUAAAAUGAAGUUCCUUAACUGCUCUCAGUUCUUCCCAGAAUUCAUGUAAUGAGUUCUAAGUGUCAGUUCUGCUAGGUCUAGGGAGAGGGAUGAAGCCUCUACAUGAGCCAGCCUGUGUUGGUUGGGGCAGAGCCUAGAGAUCCCUGGUUCAGUGAGGCUCCUGCACUAGGGAAGGGACCUCUGAGCUCCUCUUCUCGUGCCAAGCCCAUCUCCGCUCAUCCCAUGCUGACUGCAAGAAUGGUGUUUGCUCAAUGGUCAGGGAAGUGGUGCCCAAGAGCAGGAACCUGGCUUCACUCUGUCUCUCCUCUGGGCAUCAAAGAGGCAGUACCUGCUAGGACCGUCUCUUCCUUUCUAAAAUCAGGAAGUAACAAAAGGCAGGCUGGGAUUGCCCAUAGAUACAGCUCCGUCUUUCUCUCUCUCUCCUGAAACAGCCUGCAGACAUUCCUGAGUUCUUGUGCUGAGAUUAGGUUCAUUGUCAAACCCAAACCCAUUUGUUUUAAAGCCAGUUGUGCAAAAAUAUAUUAAAAAGCAAACAUGCGCAAACCAGAAGCCAGGGUCGGGGUUAUUGAGUGUAGCUUCGAUAUUAAUAACAUGAAAUAGAGUUCCCAGUCUCCCAAUUUCCCAUCUGAAUGGAGCUCUUUCAAAGCCCAGGAAGGCAGAUGGGAUGCACAGGGCAGGAUGGGCCCCUUCCAGGGUUUCUCAGUCCAAUGCCAUCACAGAGGAACUUGAAUGUUAUUUCUGGCAGUGUGGACUGGCUUCACACAGAGAUGAGGUGGCAGACGAUGAGGGACUUCCUGGCCAUAUUAAUGUGUAGAAUGCCUCUAAGCCACACAGGUACAAAGUGAGGGUGGAAACAUUAUUUCUAGCCCUUGGAACUGAUAGAAAAAUACUCCUGACAAAGAAUACAGGGAAUACUGCUGGUGGGACUCAGUAUAAGGUCACUUUGCUGGAAAGUAACAGAGAAUAAAUAAAAUUGAUUGAGUGCCUAUUAUGUGCUUGAAAUCACUUUACAUGCUGGGGCCACAGCAGUUGUCAAAAUUGUUGGAAAUCUCUGCCCUCAUGGAGCUCAGAGUCUAGGGGAUUUUUAAAAAUCACAGGCUGGGCAGAUACUGAAGCUGGCUUUGGGGCCAUUCGGAACUAAAGACUUGAAUUCUAACAAGAUUUCUGUGAUUCAGUUUCUUGCUGUGUCUUGGAGUCAUUUCCUCCAAGCACCUUCUGUCUCUACCUCUGUCAAGAAGAGGACAAAAUAGCCACCAUCCACAUUCUUGUCCCCAGACUGAUGAAGAAGAUGAUAAAAGGGAGGCUUUAGUUGGUAAGCAGAAAGGCACCAUGUAAGUGACAGGCUUACAUCUUGUAUGAAAUCAAGUGGGCAAGAAAGCUUCUGCUCAGGUGGGUACAGCCCCAAGGAGGCUGAUAGGUGAGCACUCUUAGGAACAUGGGCUUGCAGACUUCCCAGUGAAUGCUUCCUUGGGCUGUCAUUUGAACCUAAGAAGAAAGCACAGUUCAAGAAAGAUGAACACAUGUAGCCAACCUGAACUGAAACCAAGAAGGAAAGGAUCAGUCAAAUAGCUGUCUCCUCUGGGCUUGGCUGCCUGUCCUUGGAGAUAAUACUGGCACGUAGCAAGAACUUCCACCUGCAGCAUCCACAGCACAUCUCCAUGGGCCUUAGCAAGAUGCUAUGCAACACGGCUCUUUUCCAGUAUCCUAAUUUUCUGUUCAUAACAUGUUGGGUCUUUGGGAAUCACCAUUAUAAUCAUCAUAAUGUGUUGGGUCUUUGGGAAUUACUGUCAUGAUCAUCAUCAUCACCACCACCACCACCACCAACAUCAGUUUUCCUGGUCUCAUCUUCAUGAUCCUGUUUCAUUUCUUACUACUUCAAACAUUCUUUUUUCCUUCCCUAUGCCUGGAACAUCCUCUGCUCAUUUCUAAUCCCAGAUCUUUGCUUCAGCUGUGGCUCCCUGCACUCCCUGCCUGGGGAAUGCCCCAUGUACCCCCUUUUUCUUGCUAAAAUAUUACACACCUUCAAGACCAUCUCAAGCCCCCCCUUUCAGGAAGCUCUCCUCUAUCUACUCAUGCCCUCCGGUACCUGAGUAUUUGCACAAUAUUAGAACUUAAACAUUCAUCAUUUUAGUCUACAUUCCAGCAACUCUGUAAGGUUGGAAUCAUUUCCUCCAUUUUAUCGAUGAGAUAACAGGUUCAGAGAGGCCGGGUAUUGCCCCAGGAGGAAGGAGCUGGAGCCCCCACAGCUGUGUCUAUUCUACUCUGCCUUGGUGUGCUUGCUUUCCCAGGAGCACACCAGAUGUUGAGAGCAGUAGUUCUCAAACUUCAGGGUGCAUGUACAUUACCAGGGACUGUUUGGCAGACGUUCUGGGGUGGGGAACAAACAUCUGUGUGUGGUUCACCAACGGUCCCUGGUGACUAUGGUUUUAUGGCUGGUCCUGUAGCCAUUUGAGAACCGUUGCCUUCAGAGGUGCACGUAGUCCCAUAACUGAAGAUGUGGCUCCCUGAGGCUCCUGGGAAGCCAACCGCCUCCCCAGACCUACAGAAUGGGAAUGGAAAUCUCCGGGUGUGGGGGUGGGGGCUGGAGGGGGUGGGCCUGGGAAUCUCUAGCUAAGAGCCUCAGGGGUUUUUUAUCAUCUGGCAAGUUUGGGAAAGCUGACUGAGAGUCAGGCCCAUCCAAUUAGCACUUAAUUGUAUCCUGCUUUAUCUUCUUCCCCAAUUAGUUCUUCUGCAUCAGUUAAGCUCCUUGGAGGCCCAGACAACAGCACUUAAUUCAGCAUUGCCCUGAGAGCUGGCAUGGUGCUGGCUAGGUGACUGGCAUUAUGGAAAACUGACUGCAUCUGCUUUAGGAAGAGAGGCAUGUCCAGAGUGGAAAUUCUGGAAGCUCCUUGCAAAACUAAUACCUGGGCUUCUGCACCUCCCCAGCUUGAUGUCUGCUCUUAUCCCUCAUCUCUGCAAAGCCAGGUGCUUCCUCUUGCUUAAAGACCAGCUCAAGGCUCUCUUAUUCCAAGAACUGACUCCAUUACCUCCAGCUAGAUAUAAGCCCAUGGGUCUGUGGAUCCUUCUGAUGUGAAUUUACCUGGAUUUCUGUUUUUCACGGACAGAGGGCUUCAGGAAAGCUCCUGGCCUGACAUGAUGCUAGGCACAUAGUAUUGCUCUUUCCUUCCUACAUCCUCUUCUAGGGAGGGCAUCUUAUCCACCUUGAACAUUCCUACCAUGGAAAACAGUGGCUUGCACAUAGCACAAGGUCAGUUAAUAUUUUGGAUUCCUACAUAAGUCUCAGAGAUGUUAAUAGGAAUUACCAUCUUGUUGCAAUGAAUGUGAGCAAGUAUGUGUUGUGCACAUAAAUUAUCCCACUCCCGCCAAAGGACUAUGUUACUCUUUUUCAAUUACCCAAGCAACUACUCCAGUGCCUUAUGCAUGAUUACCUUCUCUAAGUAUUUUCUUUCUAAAUUAAUACAAUUAUUAACUUCUCAGGGUGUGAACUGUAAAGGGGAAAAUGUGUGCUUCUCUGUUUAAAACAUUAGUAUCUUUAUUUUAAAUCUACUCCAGACUUGCCCAGACUCCUUCACUACUCAGAGUCUCUGAGCAUCGGCUUCCUUAACAUUCAAAAUGGAAAUGAUAAUAAAAACUUUGCACAUCUCUAAAAAUCUCUGAAAAAAAAAAUUUGUCACAUUGAACACAUAAAGCAAGCACUGGAUAAAUUGUAGCUGCAUGGUAUAGUACAGACAACUUGAGACAUAGAUGGAAGGCAGAGCCUAUAUUUUAUUCCUGCCAAACAAAAAUUAAAACAAAGGCAUUAUAAGAACCCAGUGUUGGUGACAUUUGUGAUGGAACAGGCACACUUAUUUUGGAGGCCUGUUUAGCAAUGCUUACCAGGAGUCAUAAAUAUUUUCAUAUACUUUUACCACCGCACAGCAGUUCUAAGAAUUACUACAGGAGAAUGAUUUUUAGAGAGGAACAAGUUAAAUAUAGGCAUCAGUGUAAUUUACAAAGGUGAAAACAAAAAGUAACCUAAAUGCACAUGAAUGGGAGCAAGGUUACAUAAAUUACAGUGCAACAAUGUAAUGGAAUAUCUCACAGCAAUUAAGAAGGCUAAAGACAAAUCCCAGGUAGAAACAUUUAGUGAUUGAAAAUAAUAAGUGUAAUGGUAAAACACAAUUUUAUGUAUACUUUGAUUAAAAUGAUUCAAAAUGAUAUAUUUACUUACAGCCGUGAAGAAAAGAAUAAAGACAUGAACAUGUUUGCUGUGUUAUAUUAGUGAAAUUAAAUUUAUUUUAUACAUGCUAUAUAUGUAUGUAUACAUGCAUGUGCGUAUGUAUGUAUACAUUUAUGUAAAUAUAUAGAUGCAUGAAUACACAUAUGUAUAUGUAAAUAUGUAUAUGUACAUAAAUGUGUAUGUACACUUAUAUAGGUGUAUAUGCAUGUACAUAUGUAUGUGUAUAUGUAUAUGUGUAUAUCUACAUAUGUAUAUGUGUAUAUAUACCUUUAUGUACAUAUAUAAAAAUAUUUUAAUUUUUAUUUUAAAUACUUUAUAUAAAAUUUACACACACAUCUAUAUCUAUAAAAGUAGAUAUAUGUAUAUAUCUGUAUACAGAUAUAUAUGUAUACAUAUAUACAUAUAUACACAUAUAUACAUAUAUACAUAUCUGUAUACAGAUAUAUAUACAUAUAUAUCUGUAUAUAUGUACAUAUAUACAUAUAUACAUAUAUAUGCAUACAUAUAUACAUAUAUGCACAUAUACACAUAUAUGUACAUAUAUGCAUAUAUAUACAUAUAUACAUAUAUACACACACAUAUAUAUAUACAUGUCUACUUUUGAAAAUCUUCCUAAUAGUUCUGCAAGGCAGGUUUUAGUACCUUGAGGAAACAGGUGACAAUAUUUUACUAAAUCACAUAUCUAACAAAAGUUAUCAUAAGCCUUCAAAUGAACCUUGGCCCACCGGCCCCCAAAUCUUUGCUUUUUAAAAUUAUUCACAAAUUGUUUUCCAAUGUGUGUACAUUUGAUGUUGGUUUCUUUUGAUAACUCAUUUCCAAUAAGACCUUAUUUUAUAUUACAACAAUGAAGAUAGAUAAAUAAAUACAUCAAAAUAUUUAUUAUGUGUACUACAUACAUUUUAUAAUUAAAAUGUGCUAGAUUGUUACCUUGUUAGCUCCAAUCAACCACCUCCCAGUAUUCACAGUUUUGUGUAGUCCCAUUUCACAUAGGCACUAGACUUGGCUAUGUGAUGUGAUGUGUUUUGGCCAAUGGGUCAUUGGCAAGCUUGAAAUAAGAACUUCAUAAGUACUUGUGAGUUAAGGUUUGUCCUGUUAGAAGCUAGUCACCAUGCUAUCAAGACACCCAAGCUAGCUGCAUGGAGAUGAUGCAGGAUUUUUCUUGAUCCCUUUGCCAGCUGGGGACCUCCAGCCAGCAAUGACCCUGCCCAGGCCUCACUUGAGCAUGCUACCUGUUGCAGGAGGUGGCCUGCCCACCCAGCCCACCUGGGCUGCACCUGAAUUGUGAACUGGCUUAGCCCGAAGCUGGGCUGGGCAUGCUCUAGCUCACCUGUGUUAUAGCUCAUACCUGUGUUCAGUGGUUCCUGAGUUCUUGUCCCGCGUCCAAGAAGAAUGAGGAUAUGCUGACAAUUGAAGGGUGAGGAGAGCAGAGAAGAAUUUUAUUGAGUGAUGGAACAGCUCUCAGCAGAGAGGGGAUGUGGGGGUAGUCCCCCACCUGAAGUUGGGUGGUUUCUCUUCCAGUGUAGCUGAAUCUGAGGCUUUUAUGGACUCAGAAUAGGGGAGUGCAUGCUGAUUGGUUUGUGAAUAUGCAAAAAUGGUUAAAACAAAGGCACCACUCAAAUGUGGGCAUGACAGUGUAAAUAAACCAAUUAGGGAAGGGUAGGUAUAUGUAAAAUAGGUGAAGGGUGAGGAUCAAUCAGAGGAAAGCAUGCCCAACAGGAAGAUAGAUUCUCAGUCUGGUCUGUGGAUUUGACUUGUAGUUAGGCUUAAACUGUCUUUGGCUUGGAGAUGGGGUUUCACCAGGGACACGCCCCUAUCUGCCUAUGCAUUUGUCUGCCUCCUGCCACUAUCAGAGAGGCCACAGAGAAGAGAAUUGAGGCUUCCCAGAAAAGAGCCCUGAUGAGGUCCCCGCUCACAAUAUGGAGAGAUCGUUUAGGAUUACCAGCCCCUUUGAAGCCUCCAGAAAAUCACAGCUCUGUUAGUAAUUUUUGUGGACUCCAUGCAAAGAAAAGAAUCAUUUAAUGAGCCCAGUCAACCCAUAGAAUCAUGAGAAAUAAUAAAUCUUUGUAGUUUCAAAGCGCUAAGUUUUGGGAUGGUUUGUUAAACAGCAAGAGAUGACCAAUAUAUCAGACCUGAAAAAUUUAAAGCACCAGGAAAAUUUUAAAGUACCAGGAAAAUUUUAAAGUACCAUCCUAGCACAUAGUAGAUGCUUAAUUAAAAUGUCUAUGAAGAAGAAGGGGUCAAUUCUGUCACUUGGCAUUCAGAUUCCCUUUUUGCUCACUAUAGCCUUCCACUUUAAGAAGAGAACCAACAUCCCUGUUGAACUGGAUUCAUCUGCAAACCAGGCCAGCAAUCCUGGCUCAGGCAGGCCUUCCAGGAGGGCAAACUGUAUAGUUCUAUAGCAAAGGGGGCAUUGUCCUUUCUGAAAUGCCAGAUCCUUUAUAAGCUGGAGAGUUACAGUCACUGUUUGGUAAUUGCCCUGCCCCCUGCUAGUGCUUCCAUUCUUGGCUCUUAUAAUAAAGUUCAGUCUCAUGCUCAUUUUUUAUCUUCCUAAAUGGGGCCUGCCAUGGAGCAGCCAUUUGUAUUACGAUCUUAGGCAACCAUGACUGUUCCCAGCCACAGCAUCCCUAAUGCCACUGCCUUAGUUCAGACCCGUAUCAUUUCUCCCCUGGAUAAUUACAACAGCCCCUAACAAGUCUCCUAGCAUUUUGGCAUACACUCCUCUAUUCCAUUCUCUGUAGCAGGCAGUAGGCCAUUUCUAAAGUACAAACUAAAUCAUUUCACCAUGCUUUUUAAAACCUUCCAAUAGGCUCCCCAUUGCCUCAAAGCAAAAUUUCUCAGACUGGAUUAAUGAGUGAGUGUUCCACAGGGUGUGGGCUAGGAAUGAGAAUAUAGUUUAACACAUUUGGGAAACCCUGGGUUAAACAUGGUUAACCAGGUAUUUUUGUGUGUUUGUUACAGGAUUUCUCAGAGCCUUUAAUAUGCUGAUGCAAAUUGUGAAUCUUAUCACAAGAGUGAUAUAAAAUCAACAUUUACCAAACUUGCUUUCUUGGCAGACUAUCUUUGGUUCCACUGAGUUGCAGUUUAGAAUUUUUCAAGUAUUUCCAAGUCCCUUAGUCUGGUAGACAAGUUUCUUCAUAAUCUGACCCCUGCUUAUUUCUUCAGCACAAGUCUCUACAUUUCUCCCAGGUCCUUGCUUCUUGACAAUUUGGUUCCUAUGUACCUGCUUUCCUUUAUCUAAAGUCAACCAUCCUGUUCUUUCAUAGCCCUGGUUAAUUCUUAUUCAUCCUUUGAAUCUCAGGUCAGUCUUCUCUCCUCUGGGAAAUCUUAUCCUAUCCCCACCAUACCUCAUCCCACCCCACCCUCCCUUGGGCUGAGUUAUACAUUCACCCUAUGACAUCCCAUGCUUUUUCCUAUUAUAUUAACUUUCACACAACCUUAGAGUUUCCUGCUUGUCUCUCCUUGUAGAUUGCAUGUUCCUUUGGGCAGGGCUGUCAGCAGGGCACUUAGUGUGCAUUCAGUAAGUGUUUCUUGAGUAAAUGAGUACUGAGAAAUAGAAUGCAUUUUGUGAAAACAGUUGUUGACUAAGAAUUUUCUGAAUGCAGUCACACUGAUAGUAGAUACCUUUUCAGGUGCCAAUCCAUCUAUGGUGUAAACAUGUCUCUUAUACUGACCAUACUCUACAGGUGUUCUCUGUGAUACUAUCUCCUGGGACCAUUUAAAUUCACAUGAAGAAAACUGAGCCGACCUGACUCAUUCUCUGAGGAUUCGAACUUAGGAAUUGUUAGAAGUUUAUUCAAACUGCAGAAUCAUAAACUGCAGAGCUCUGGUGGCCGUUUUGUGUAUGAGUAAAUGGGAGCGAUGGAAGCAGUUCUGUAGAAAGAGAGGGAGAGAAGUGAAGGGCAUUGGGCUACAGAUGUUCCUCGAUGUCCCAAUAAACCCAUCAUAGAGUUGCAUGAUGUUGAAAAUAUUCUAAGUCACAAAUACAUUUAAUACACCUAACCUACUGAACAUCAUAACUUAGCGUGCCUUCAGUGUGCUCAGAACACUUAGAUUAGCUUACAUUUGGGCAAAAUCAUCUAUUUAACACAAAGCCUAUUUUAUAAUAAAAUAUUGAAUAGCUCAUGUAAUUUAUUGAAAACUAUACUAAAAGUGAAAAACAGAAUGGUUGCAUGGGUACCUGAAAUAUGGUUUCUACCAAAUGUGUAUUGCCUUUGCAACCAUCUUAAGUCAAACCAUCAUAAGCUGGGAACUGUCUGUAUUUAGAAAAAAGCAAAGAUGGAGAGGUAUUCCUAACCCCCUGGGUUCCUAAUUUCUCACAGAUUUCUCAUUUCAGCACUAGCUGAGGUCUGGCUAUCAGCCUGUCACAGAGUUAGGAGUAUGUCAUCACAGUGAUUUUUCUUUCCCCUCCUCCAGCCUAUUUGAAGGAGGCCCUGUUAUGUGUUACCAAUAGGGUCUUUACUAAGCAAUGUCUAGUUUUUUUCCUUGAAAAACUUGAAAUGUGAAUGGCUCUCUCAACAUGCUUCUCUUUGUAACAGCCACAUUGUGAAUAUUAAUGGCAGUACUUAAGCAGGUCGAUUGUGCACUGAGAAUAUGAAAUAUGCAUGUCACUUAAAAACAAAUGAUUGUCCAUACAGUGCUUGGGCUGAAUUAUUCUCCCUCAGGUUGUCACACCUGAUGCAGAGGGAAGCUAAGGCAAUGCAUCUGUGCCAGACUUUAUAGAUCCCAAGGUCAGGAUCAAAAUGUGCAGAUUCAGGAAGAUGCUUUUUCACUAAUGAUUUGUUACCGUUAACUUGACGCACUGGGUGGAUUUAUAUAGAGAAAAAUGUUAAUAAAAUGUUCUUCGAGCUACAUUUCUGCUUUGCUGAGUUGUCAUUCCAUUAAGCAAAUUUGAGGCAAUGUAAUUGCUAUAAGAUUCUACAUAUUUGCAAAUGAAUUUGUGAGUUUAUUUGGGAAAUGAAUGGGUUUUAACUUGGCUUGUUGGACUAAUUUUAUUUUGCUGUUUCCAGGAGAUGUCCUAGCGAG
rnacentral:lncRNA from 10 species